GAUGAACGCUGGCGGCGUGCCUAAUACAUGCAAGUCGAGCGAACGGACGAGAAGCUUGCUUCUCUGAUGUUAGCGGCGGACGGGUGAGUAACACGUGGAUAACCUACCUAUAAGACUGGGAUAACUUCGGGAAACCGGAGCUAAUACCGGAUAAUAUUUUGAACCGCAUGGUUCAAAAGUGAAAGACGGUCUUGCUGUCACUUAUAGAUGGAUCCGCGCUGCAUUAGCUAGUUGGUAAGGUAACGGCUUACCAAGGCAACGAUGCAUAGCCGACCUGAGAGGGUGAUCGGCCACACUGGAACUGAGACACGGUCCAGACUCCUACGGGAGGCAGCAGUAGGGAAUCUGCCGCAAUGGGCGAAAGCCUGACGGAGCAACGCCGCGUGAGUUAUGAAGGUCUUCGGAUCGUAAAACUCUGUUAUUAGGGAAGAACAUAUGUGUAAGUAACUGUGCACAGCUUGACGGUACCUAAUCAGAAAGCCACGGCUAACUACGUG
rnacentral:rRNA from 1 species